UUUUAUGGAGAGUUUGAUCCUGGCUCAGGAUGAACGCUGGCGGCGUGCCUAAUACAUGCAAGUCGAGCGAACGGACGAGAAGCUUGCUUCUCUGAUGUUAGCGGCGGACGGGUGAGUAACACGUGGAUAACCUACCUAUAAGACUGGGAUAACUUCGGGAAACCGGAGCUAAUACCGGAUAAUAUUUUGAACCGCAUGGUUCAAAAGUGAAAGACGGUCUUGCUGUCACUUAUAGAUGGAUCCGCGCUGCAUUAGCUAGUUGGUAAGGUAACGGCUUACCAAGGCAACGAUGCAUAGCCGACCUGAGAGGGUGAUCGGCCACACUGGAACUGAGACACGGUCCAGACUCCUACGGGAGGCAGCAGUAGGGAAUCUUCCGCAAUGGGCGAAAGCCUGACGGAGCAACGCCGCGUGAGUGAUGAAGGUCUUCGGAUCGUAAAACUCUGUUAUUAGGGAAGAACAUAUGUGUAAGUAACUGUGCACAUCUUGACGGUACCUAAUCAGAAAGCCACGGCUAACUACGUGCCAGCAGCCGCGGUAAUACGUAGGUGGCAAGCGUUAUCCGGAAUUAUUGGGCGUAAAGCGCGCGUAGGCGGUUUUUUAAGUCUGAUGUGAAAGCCCACGGCUCAACCGUGGAGGGUCAUUGGAAACUGGAAAACUUGAGUGCAGAAGAGGAAAGUGGAAUUCCAUGUGUAGCGGUGAAAUGCGCAGAGAUAUGGAGGAACACCAGUGGCGAAGGCGACUUUCUGGUCUGUAACUGACGCUGAUGUGCGAAAGCGUGGGGAUCAAACAGGAUUAGAU
rnacentral:rRNA from 2 species